CAUGCAAGUCGACGAUGAUGCCCAGCUUGCUGGGCGGAUUAGUGGCGAACGGGUGAGUAAUACGUGAGUAACCUGCCCUUGACUCUGGGAUAAGCCUGGGAAACUGGGUCUAAUACUGGAUACUACCUCUUGCCGCAUGGUGGGUGGUGGAAAGGGUUUUACUGGUUUUGGAUGGGCUCACGGCCUAUCAGCUUGUUGGUGGGGUAAUGGCUCACCAAGGCGACGACGGGUAGCCGGCCUGAGAGGGUGACCGGCCACACUGGGACUGAGACACGGCCCAGACUCCUACGGGAGGCAGCAGUGGGGAAUAUUGCACAAUGGGCGGAAGCCUGAUGCAGCGACGCCGCGUGAGGGAUGACGGCCUUCGGGUUGUAAACCUCUUUCAGUAGGGAAGAAGCGAGAGUGACGGUACCUGCAGAAGAAGCGCCGGCUAACUACGUGCCAGCAGCCGCGGUAAUACGUAGGGCGCAAGCGUUGUCCGGAAUUAUUGGGCGUAAAGAGCUCGUAGGCGGUUUGUCGCGUCUGCUGUGAAAGCCCGGGGCUCAACCCCGGGUCUGCAGUGGGUACGGGCAGACUAGAGUGCAGUAGGGGAGACUGGAAUUCCUGGUGUAGCGGUGAAAUGCGCAGAUAUCAGGAGGAACACCGAUGGCGAAGGCAGGUCUCUGGGCUGUUACUGACGCUGAGGAGCGAAAGCAUGGGGAGCGAACAGGAUUAGAUACCCUGGUAGUCCAUGCCGUAAACGUUGGGCACUAGGUGUGGGGGACAUUCCACGUUUUCCGCGCCGUAGCUAACGCAUUAAGUGCCCCGCCUGGGGAGUACGGCCGCAAGGCUAAAACUCAAAGGAAUUGACGGGGGCCCGCACAAGCGGCGGAGCAUGCGGAUUAAUUCGAUGCAACGCGAAGAACCUUACCAAGGCUUGACAUUCACCGGACCGCCCCAGAGAUGGGGUUUCCCUUCGGGGCUGGUGGACAGGUGGUGCAUGGUUGUCGUCAGCUCGUGUCGUGAGAUGUUGGGUUAAGUCCCGCAACGAGCGCAACCCUCGUUCUAUGUUGCCAGCACGUGAUGGUGGGGACUCAUAGGAGACUGCCGGGGUCAACUCGGAGGAAGGUGGGGAUGACGUCAAAUCAUCAUGCCCCUUAUGUCUUGGGCUUCACGCAUGCUACAAUGGCCGGUACAAAGGGUUGCGAUACUGUGAGGUGGAGCUAAUCCCAAAAAGCCGGUCUCAGUUCGGAUUGAGGUCUGCAACUCGACCUCAUGAAGUCGGAGUCGCUAGUAAUCGCAGAUCAGCAACGCUGCGGUGAAUACGUUCCCGGGCCUUGUACACACCGCCCGUCAAGUCACGAAAGUUGGUAACACCCGAAGCCGGUGGCCUAACCC
rnacentral:rRNA from 1 species